CAAUUUGUAGUUCUCUAUCCCCAACAAUUCGGUCUUGGAAGGAGGGAAAUAUUUCAGCUAACGAGAAAUUCGUGCAAGUUUAUAUUUGCUGAUGAUGGAGUGAAGAGAGAAUUAAAGGAGAUUUUUAGUUCACCAGAACAGAAGCUCGACCAAUCUUUCGAAUUUAGGGGCAUAUGCAGAAACGCUGAUCAUUUCUUUAGUUGUAUUAUCAACUGUUAUUGACAUCUUUAGAAUGAUAUUUGUUUUCUUCAAGUAAUGCAGAAUCUUCAUUGGUUCCUAAUUAAUUA